GCGGGCUCGGCGCCCUCCGGCCCGCUUCACCCGGGCUCCGCACGGCGCCCUGCGGGCCCUCGGGCCACGCGUCGCCGGGCCCGUCUCUCGCCGUUAGCGGGACGAGUCCUCCCACCGGGCGCUGAGAUCGGGGGACCGCACGCCCGCGGCUCCGGAGCAGCGGGGGCUGCCCUGCGGGCCCCUUUCUCGAGGACACGAAUCCCGAGAGGACCACCCCGGCCGAGGGGGCGGGCACGGAACCGGGGCGGGCCUGGGCUGGGAGCUGACCACUGGCCGCUCUCCCCGCCCCCGCACGGCCUCAGUUUCCCCUCCUGUCGGGGCAGGGGGACGCAGCUCCGGCCCUGGAGGCCGCCGGGGGUUCCAGUGCGACGUGGUCCAGCAGUGACUCACCCAAGGGGCCAGAACUGUCGGCGACGGGUCAGAAGGGACGGCGCGAGAAGCUGCGGGAUGGUUUGGGACAGCUCGGGACGGGAGCCACAAGAUCAGGACACGGCCCCCACCCGCCCUGCGCCGGAGGAAAUGCGGCUGGCGCUCAGGCUGCGGCGGAGAGCCGUGUCUCCCUGGGCCGAACCUGCGCAUGCAGUCCCUUUGCGCCCCCUAGAGGAUCGGAGCUGAAAAUCUGACUUGCCAAGUAUCCAAACAUCCCUCCAUCUUCCAACCAUCCCACCCAUCCAUCCAUCCCUUUAUCCAGAAAACGUUUAUGGAGCACCAGCUUCCUCAUCCGUCCGUCCGUCCAUCCAUCCAUCCAUCCAUCUGCUCAUCCAUCCAUUUAUCCUCUCAUCAAUCUGUUUAUCUAGAUUCCCAUCCAUCCAGAAAAAUCUACUGAGCAGCUACUUCAAAUCAGGGACUGGGCUAAGCAUUGGAAAUAUACUAAAGAAGACAGACGUGGUUUCUGACUUUGUCGGUUAUAUUCUAGUGGGGAUAAUAAACAAAUGAGUCAGCAAAUGCAAUCAUGAAAAUCAUGACAAGUGCUACAAAGCAAAUGGGCAGGAUGGUAUAGCAGACAAUGACAGUGGGGACCUACUUAGCAAGGACAGCAGGGGCCUCUCUGAGGAGAUAUUUAAUCUAAAACCUGAUGGAAAAGAAGGAGCCAGGCAUGAAAAUAUUAGCAGACUAUGCUCAGGAAUAUAUGUAGAAAGUAAAACAGUGUGAAGAUGUGAAGUUCACGGAGGCAGAUCAACUGUGUUUGUCAUAGUAUGACAUCUGUCACUGCCAUGCCCCUCUGUCAACACUACAGGGAAUACAAGUAUAGCGUCUAAUAUUUUUUGAGAAAACACAAUAUUUCAGGUAUUUUGAUCCAUUUAGUCAUCAUACCAAUCUUAAAAGGUAAACACUAGUGUUGUCCACUUUGCUGAUGAGGAAACAAAAGCUCAGAAAGUUUAAUUGACUUGUCCAAGGUCAUGCAGUUAAUAUGUGUUAAGAACUGUGCAUAGUCUGAGAGUUAGCCCUACUUUCAAGCUAAAGAGUUAGCCUGUUAUUGUUUCAUGGCUGCUGGAAGAGGACGUGAAAUUCCUGAGUCAGGGUUCAAGGACUCUGUUACUCAUGGCAAAGCAGAGGGAGCUUCACAUUCACGUUGGUUCUUAUGCCUCACAAGUCCCAUGGGGAUGGCAUAGGGCCCGUGAUGAAUGCCUGCACGCACACUGUGUUACAGUGUUACAGGAGAGGACAGUGAGCUUGCAGAAUUCAACAUCUUUAAAGGAAAGAGAAGUAAGCCUGCUGUUAGUCUGAGAGGAGACUUUACCUCAUCCCUCAAGGUUACUCACUGCAAAACAUGACGCUAAGAGACGGCCCAGGAAAACAGCAGCCAGGGCCUUACAUUCUUGGCAAACCCAGCAGGAAUGUACAUAGAUGCUCAGGGUCCAUGGCAGACUGCCUCUCCUAACAGUAGGUAUCAGAAUCUAAAUUCAAACAGGAAAGCAAAUCUAAGAGCAACUUAAUAGGUGCUUGAAAAUGUGUUUGAUAAUAUUUAAUUUCUAUUACUGUUCAGAAAAGUAUAUUUUGGAGUACUUGGACUAAAGGGAUAUUUUCAUCAUGUGAUCCAGACCAUCACCAGCCAACAACAUUAUGUUUCAAGGAGAAACUUUAGAGGCUCCCUUAGAAAAACUAGGACCAACAAACCGCCUAUUCUCACAUGACUCUGGAUAUUAAAUGGCUAGGAUAUCUGUAGUUUUGACCUAUCUACUCCUUCACUCUGAUUUUCUUCUGGCAUUCACUCUUCCUGUUGAAUUCAGUCUUGUUGAGAGUGUCACUGAGAGAGUCCUGCCCUCCCCUGACGACGGAUUGGAUGUGGGACCCAAGCUGGGAAAAUGAUGCUUUCUUCCUUGAUUUUGUAUCUUGAGUGUGAGGAAGCGUGGAUCCUAAAGGAGCUCGGAGGCUAGUUAUGGAGCUGUGGAAGCAGCCUUUGUCAAUGGUGACAGGUGGACAUAGGACCCAGCUCUGCCAGCUUCAGUCUUCUUCCUUUCACCGCUGGCUGCAGGCUCUCCGCCCACUGCCUCACUGGGUAGUACCUGCCCAGUCAGCUCACCCAGGAAGGAGCUGGGUCUUGGCCAAGCAUCCCAAGCACAGGUAGACCACAGAGGCCCUGAGGGGUGACCUGUGCAUGUGACAUCCUCCAACCCCCUCAUGAGAUGAGAGACCUCUAAGAUGGGUGACUUCUCCCAGAGCUAUGAAAAGGGUGGAAGCGCCUAUCCUUUGGCUGUGAAGUUAACUUUGAGAAUUGAGAGUUUGAGUAUCAGAGGUCCUAGAGUUAAGGGCUGAAUUUUCUCAGAAAGCCCCUCUACUCCUUGCAAACCUUUCUCUUCUUCCCUGUCACAAGUUUAAUUAUCUUCUGCCUGACCUCAUUAAGCUUGAAGGGAAAAGUUCUGCCAAAAUGUUGCCCUUCAGAGAUAGUCACAAAGGUCUUUAUUAGAAGGGCCCACCAUUUGAGGAUUAGAAUGGGGAUUUUUGAAACCCCCCUCAAGAAGGUAAAACACAGGGUCACUCUGCUGUACCAGAGGAUGUGCUAGGAAAACAUCAAGCGUUUUCUGGGUUCAGCCAAGCAUCCUCAACAUCUCUGCUUCUCAGCCAGAGACUAUGAUGUAAAUGGUGCUUCCAUGAGUUGGGCAGUACACAACCUGCACAACCAUAUGUAGCAGUCCUUCCUGUCUUCAGUAGAAGAUGGACGGAGAUGUGCUUCUGGGCAAACCAGCACAUGUUCCCCGACUGUAUGCAAGAAAUAAAGGGAAUGUAAAGUCAGAAAUCCACACACAGAGAGAGAUGAAGAUGCAGGGCAGGGAGUCAGUGAAAUUCCAGUUCCCAGUGUUUGUUGUGGUGGAGGCCCAGCUUCACCUCUGCCCUUUCUUUUGUUUGAUUACAUAAGUUUUCUAGUAAUGUAUUUCUUUUUUUAUCACGUUAGGUUUCUGUAACCUACAUUCCUGGCUAUCGGCCCAAGUCUUUUCCUUAACUUGCCCCAAAUAGCCAGGUAUUAAGGUAUUCCAUGGAGGGUUUGGCUGUUGCAUGAGGCACUGUGGACAUUUUGCUUGUCCAGGUUGACUUUCCCAUCUACAGCUCUGGCCCAGUUAACCAGGGACUCCAGCAGACAGGGAAGCUUGUCGAGCUCUGGAAAUAAA
ensembl:lncRNA